rnacentral:rRNA from 1 species
CAAUAGCGUAUAUUAAAGUUGUUGCGGUUAAAAGCUCGUAGUUGGAUUUCUGCCUGAGGCAGCCGGUCCGCACUUAGUGCGUGUAUCUGGUUUGGUUUGGGCAUCCUCUUGGGGAUCGUUGCUGUGCUUAGUUGCAUGGUGCGGAAUUCAAGACGUUUACUUUGAGGAAAUUAGAGUGGUUACGGCAAGCUAUCGCUUUGAAUACAUUAGCAUGGAAUAAUAAGAUAGGACUUUGGUGGUCUAUUUUGUUGGUUUGCACACCAAGGUAAUGAUUAAUAGGGAUAGUUGGGGGUAUUCGUAUUUAAUUGUCAGAGGUGAAAUUCUUGGAUUUAUGAAAGACGAACUACUGCGAAAGCAUUUACCAAAGAUGUUUUCAUUAAUCAAGAACGAAAGUUAGGGGAUCGAAGACGAUUAGAUACCGU